rnacentral:rRNA from 1 species
AGGGGAGUGAAAAAGAACCUGAAACCGUGUACGUACAAGCAGUGGGAGCACGCUUAGGCGUGUGACUGCGUACCUUUUGUAUAAUGGGUCAGCGACUUAUAUUCUGUAGCAAGGUUAACCGAAUAGGGGAGCCGAAGGGAAACCGAGUCUUAACUGGGCGUUAAGUUGCAGGGUAUAGACCCGAAACCCGGUGAUCUAGCCAUGGGCAGGUUGAAGGUUGGGUAACACUAACUGGAGGACCGAACCGACUAAUGUUGAAAAAUUAGCGGAUGACUUGUGGCUGGGGGUGAAAGGCCAAUCAAACCGGGAGAUAGCUGGUUCUCCCCGAAAGCUAUUUAGGUAGCGCCUCGUGAAUUCAUCUCCGGGGGUAGAGCACUGUUUCGGCAAGGGGGUCAUCCCGACUUACCAACCCGAUGCAAACUGCGAAUACCGGAGAAUGUUAUCACGGGAGACACACGGCGGGUGCUAACGUCCGUCGUGAAGAGGGAAACAACCCAGACCGCCAGCUAAGGUCCCAAAGUCAUGGUUAAGUGGGAAACGAUGUGGGAAGGCCCAGACAGCCAGGAUGUUGGCUUAGAAGCAGCCAUCAUUUAAAGAAAGCGUAAUAGCUCACUGGUCGAGUCGGCCUGCGCGGAAGAUGUAACGGGGCUAAACCAUGCACCGAAGCUGCGGCAGCGACGCUGAUGCGUUGUUGGGUAGG